rnacentral:rRNA from 1 species
UGGGGAAUAUUGGACAAUGGGCGAAAGCCUGAUCCAGCAAUGCCGCGUGAGUGAUGAAGGCCUUCGGGUUGUAAAGCUCUUUUACCAGGGAUGAUAAUGACAGUACCUGGAGAAUAAGCUCCGGCUAACUCCGUGCCAGCAGCCGCGGUAAUACGGAGGGAGCUAGCGUUGUUCGGAAUUACUGGGCGUAAAGCGUGCGUAGGCGGUUACUCAAGUCAGAGGUGAAAGCCCGGGGCUCAACCCCGGAACUGCCUUUGAAACUAGGUAGCUAGAAUCUUGGAGAGGUUAGUGGAAUUCCGAGUGUAGAGGUGAAAUUCGUAGAUAUUCGGAAGAACACCAGUGGCGAAGGCGACUAACUGGACAAGCAUUGACGCUGAGGCACGAAAGCGUGGGGAGCAAACAGG